GUAAAAAUAAGAUAUAUAAAUUAUACUUAUUGAUUAUAAAAAUCAAUGUAAGUAUGUAAAGGAAUUAUUAUGCAAUUCUAGCUAUGUAUUAAGGAGAGCAAAUUUGAUAUAAAAAGGAAUAUAAAAUAUUUCUAGUUAAUAAGCUCUAGAAGAAAUUUAAUAAUAAACGAAGUGAAGUGAAAUAUCUCAGUAACUUCAGGAAAAGAAAUCAAAAGAGAUUCUAUGAAUAGCGUGAGCAAAAGUAGAUAAGUCUAAUAAGUAAAAUGGUUUAUAAACUGUUUGAAUGGGGAACCUUCCUCAAAGACUAAAUAUGAUACAUAAGCGAUAGAUGAUGGGCCGUGAGGUAAUUGGAAGUUAGUAGUAAUUUUAUAAGCAGUUCGAAUAGACUUAAUUUAAGCUAAAGAACGUACCUUUUGCAUAAUGGGUCACCAAGUUAACAUUAGAUGCGAGAGAAUUUCGUAGUUAAACCAAACGUUAAAAUAACGAUAAGUGUCUAAAGUUAGACCCGAAGCCUAGUGAUUUUACUAUGAUCAGGAUUAUAAAAGUCCGAACGGGUGAUUGUGGCAAAAAUCUCCGAAGAAUCGUGGUAGGUAUAGUGAAAGACAAUACUGACUAGGAUAGCUGGUUUUCUGCGAAACCUAUAACAGUAGGCAAUUUAAGUAAAUAUCUUAGCAGGUACAGAAUUUAAUCUCAGGCAAUGUUUUGCGCAAAUUGGGGAAUCGUGAAGAUUUUAUCAGUGAGUAUGUAGACUCGGAAUGGCAAAGAUAUAUCUUGAAUGGUCAGACAUAGAAUGACACCGUGUAUGUCAAAAGGGAAACAGCCCAGAACAAGAGUUAAGGUUCCUAAAUUAUUUGUUAAGUGAAAAUAAGAAGGUUUUUAUUAAAGUCGACAAGGAGAUAGGCUUAGAAGCAGCCAUAAUUUUAUGACCUCGUAACAGAGCGCUUGUUAAGUUAUAAAAGCAUCGAAAAUAUAACGGAUCUAAACAAUAUACCGAAACCUUGUCCAUAAUUAAUAUAGUUUUAUAUAAAGCUAUAUAUUUAUGGGGUAGCAGAACGUUGAAUUAAACUAAAUAAUAAGUUUAUAAAUUUAUUAUGUUAAUUCAAGUGAGAAUGGUGACAUGAGUAACGAAAAGAAUAGUAGAUUUUGGCGAUAAUUAUAAUUUAAGGCGCAAGCUCAUAAUUAAACAAAUACAUUAAAUAAUAGAUCUUAUUUAAUGCUUACAAGAUCUGCUAUCCGCCUAAAGCUUAUGGUUAGAAUUAAGUAACGGCCUCUAAGCUUUUUAUCUAAAGAUUGAAGCGAUGAGAAAAUCUUUUAUUAUGAGACGACAUUUAUCUAGUGAAAAAUGUACAGGAAAUAUCAUAAUAUAGUAACCGUACCUAGAAACCGACUACGGUAAGCUAGUAGAGUAUACGAAGGCGUAAUUGAGAUAACAAUCAUAAAGGAACUCGGCAAAUUGACUAUCGUAACUUCGGGAUAAGUAGGGCUCAUUAUUCUUGAUUAAUAUCAGGUAAAGAGGAAGAAACAUAAAAUAAUGUUGUACGACUGUUUAAUUAAAACACAGCACUUUGCUUAAAGAUUAAAAAUCUAUGUAUAAAGUGUGAUAUCUGCCCGGUGCCGGCUGGCUAACAGAGAUAAUUGAAUAUAUUACUAUUUGAUGUCAACGGAAGCCCCGGUUAAAGGCGGCCUUAACGUGAGGGUCCUAAGGUAGCGAAAUGCCUUGGCCGUUAAAUGCGGUCUUGCAUGAAUAAAAACACCAACUAUUAAAUAUGACAAUAAUAAAAAAUAAUAAACAACUAAAAACUUUACAAUUCCUGUUAUUAAAACAGUGUUUUCAUAGUUAUUCUUCUUUGUUAAAAAAAGAUUGACCUUUAAUAAAACAAAGUAGAAUAAGGGGCGAUGAGAGUCCUUAUACAUUAGCUAUGAAAUUUAUCAACAAUAAUUAUUUAAUAACUGCUGUUGAAGUAAAUAAUGUAAUUGAUUAAAUAUUCAUGAGAAACCUUUAUUUUUAUUCUUCAUUUGAAUGAAUUGAUAUACCUAUAGUAUAUCAUCCUAGUUCAGCCUAAUUUUAUUAACUUGCUACGCAAGCUAUAAAUAGGUACCCUUGGAAAGGAACUAUGACUAGGGGACAGUUUAUGUGGGGCACAGACCCUGUAAAGAGUAAACAGGUGUGUCUAAUAAUUUUUUUAUUUUGUUUGCUAUUUUUAUAUAAAUCGUAUUCACUUUGAUAUAAUUGUAUUAUAUAGCUUGCUAUAUAAUUAUAUUUAUAUUGAAAAUUUAGGUAAGAUUUUGACUAUACUGAAAUUAGAGAUAAUUUAAAAUUUUAUGUUAUACUUUAUUGUUAUGACUAAAAUUUUAUAGUUAUUUUCAUAAUAAUUAUGUUUUCAAUAUCUAAAAAGCUCAACGGCUUAAUCUUGCCUUACUGUUUGAUUAUCGACAAAUCUUACAGUUGCGUAAGCAGGGCAUAGGAUCACAAGAUGCAAUAAGGAAAGAUCUUGGAUUAUUGGAAAAGCUACGCUAGGGAUAACAGGCUAAUUUGCGCAAGAGUGUACAAAAUGAGUGCGCGGUUUGGCACCUCGAUGUCGGCUUAACUUAUCCUCAUGGAUGCAGAAACUAUGUAGGGUGCGACUGUUCGUCGAUUAAAAAGUUACAUGAGCUGGGUUAAAUACGUCGUGAGACAGUAUGGUUUCUAUCUUCUAGAGGGAAUUAGAAUAAAAUAAGAACGAACUUUUGUACGAAAGGAACAAGAAUGAUUUUACAGCUUGCUAUGCAAGUGACAAAUUAUAGUUACUAACCUAUGGUUUACCUGUUGUUUAUAUGCCCUGUUAUUAAAUAUAUAAGUAGUAUAAAUAUUAACAUAUUUAUUGAUUAGUAUUUAGUUAUAAAUAUUUAUAUUUAGAUCAAUACGAUACUAGUACAGUAGCAUUCGCUAUUGCUAUUUAUAUAAAUGUAUAUAUUAUUAAUAUAUACAGAGGAUGUAUCGUUCGCUAGGAUAAUAUAUUAUAUAGGCACGGCAGGAAAGCUAAGUUGGUUAAGGAUAAGUGCUGAAAGCAUAUAGGCACGAAGCUUAUCUUAAGAUAUUUCUUAAAUAUAUGUAUUAGAAUAAUACACAAUAGGCUUUCUUUGUAAGAAUCUAGAGAUUUGUAAGAUGAAAGUACUAAUUUUAUAAAUUACUAUGUAUAUAUAUAUCA
rnacentral:rRNA from 1 species